rnacentral:rRNA from 1 species
UACGAAGGGGGCUAGCGUUGCUCGGAAUCACUGGGCGUAAAGCGCACGUAGGCGGGUCGUUAAGUCGGGGGUGAAAUCCUGGAGCUCAACUCCAGAACUGCCUUCGAUACUGGCGACCUUGAGUCCGGGAGAGGUGAGUGGAACUCCGAGUGUAGAGGUGAAAUUCGUAGAUAUUCGGAAGAACACCAGUGGCGAAGGCGGCUCACUGGCCCGGUACUGACGCUGAGGAGCGAAAGUGUGGGGAACGAACAGG